rnacentral:rRNA from 1 species
ACCCGCUGAACUUAAGCAUAUCAAUAAGCGGAGGAAAAGAAACCAACAGGGAUUGCCUCAGUAACGGCGAGUGAAGCGGCAAGAGCUCAAAUUUAAAAGCUGACGUAGCUUUAAGAGACGUCCGCAUUGUAAUUUGAAGAGGCAUUCUCGGGUCGGGGCCCAGGCCUAAGUUCCUUGGAAGAGGGCGUCGUGGAGGGUGAGAACCCCGUUCGCGGCCUGCUGUCGACCUUUCCCCGAUCCACACGAGGUGCCAUCGAAGAGUCGAGUUGUUUGGGAAUGCAGCUCAAAGCGGGUGGUAAAUUCCAUCUAAAGCUAAAUAUUGACGGGAGACCGAUAGCGAACAAGUAGAGUGAUCGAAAGAUGAAAAGCACUUUGGAAAGAGAGUUAAACAGCACGUGAAAUUGUUGAAAGGGAAGCGCUUGAGACCAGUCACGGACCGAGGCGAUCAGUGGGACGUCCCUCUCGGGGGAGGAACCGCGCACUCGCUUUUCGGGUUUUCCGGGUCAACAUCGGUUGGGACGGUGUCAGAAAGGUCGCGGGAACGUGGCUCCCUUCACGGGGAGUGUUAUAGCCCGUGGCGUCAAAGUCGCCAGUUUCGACCGAGGACCGCGCUCGUCUUUUUCGAGCAAGGAUGUUGACGUAAUGGUCCC